GGCCAAGUUGGUGUAGUGGUUUGAGCAUUGGACUAUGACUCUGGAGAGCAGGGUUCGAAUCCCCGCUCAGCCA
rnacentral:tRNA from 1 species